UAGGGAAUCUUCCACAAUGGACGCAAGUCCGAUGGAGCAACGCCGCGUGAGUGAAGAAGGCUUUCGGGUCGUAAAACUCUGUUAUUGAAGAAGAACGUGUGUGACAGUAACUGGUCAUGCAGUGACGGUAUUCAAUCAGAAAGUCACGGCUAACUACGUGCCAGCAGCCGCGGUAAUACGUAGGUGGCAAGCGUUGUCCGGAUUUAUUGGGCGUAAAGCGAGUGCAGGCGGUCUUUUAAGUCUGAUGUGAAAGCCUUCGGCUUAACCGAAGAAGGGCAUCGGAAACUGGGAGACUUGAGUGCAGAAGAGGAGAGUGGAACUCCAUGUGUAGCGGUG
rnacentral:rRNA from 1 species